rnacentral:rRNA from 1 species
CGUGGGUAAUCUACCUUCGAAUUGGGGAUAACGUUACGAAAGUGACGCUAAUACCGGGAUAAUAUCAUAGGGACUUCGGUUUUUAUGAUCAAAGGAUGGGCCUCUCCUUGGAAGCUAUUGUUUGGAGAUGAGCCCGCGUCCCAUUAGCUUGUUGGUAGGGUAAUGGCCUACCAAGGCGACGAUGGGUAGCUGGUCUGAGAGGAUGAUCAGCCACACUGGAACUGACACACGGUCCAG